rnacentral:misc_RNA from 1 species
UAAUAAGUGUUUUAUGGCACUUUUUUUAAAUCCAUAUCCACCUUGUGUGCAAUGUCAGUCGAUCUUCUUCAUGGAGAUCGACCAAACAUCAACCUUUAUUUUUUAACUCUUUGUCUGAAAAAAUAUUAUGAAUGAACAAUUCAGAAUA